UAAACGAUGUCGACCUUUGGAGGUUGUGCCCUUGAGGCGUGGCUUCCGGAGCUAACGCGUUAAGUCGACCGCCCUGGGGAGUACGGCCGCAAGGUUAAAACUCAAAUGAAUUGACGGGGGCCCGCACAAGCGGUGGAGCAUGUGGUUUAAUUCGAUGCAACGCGAAGAACCUUACCUGGUCUUGACAUCCACGGAAUUCGGCAGAGAUGCCUUAGUGCCUUCGGGAACCGUGAGACAGGUGCUGCAUGGCUGUCGUCAGCUCGUGUUGUGAAAUGUUGGGUUAAGUCCCGCAACGAGCGCAACCCUUAUCCUUUGUUGCCAGCGGUCCGGCCGGGAACUCAAAGGAGACUGCCAGUGAUAAACUGGAGGAAGGUGGGGAUGACGUCAAGUCAUCAUGGCCCUUACGACCAGGGCUACACACGUGCUACAAUGGCGCAUACAAAGAGAAGCGACCUCGCGAGAGCAAGCGGACCUCAUAAAGUGCGUCGUAGUCCGGAUUGGAGUCUGCAACUCGACUCCAUGAAGUCGGAAUCGCUAGUAAUCGUGGAUCAGAAUGCCACGGUGAAUACGUUCCCGGGCCUUGUACACACCGCCCGUCACACCAUGGGAGUGGGUUGCAAAAGAAGUAGGUAGCUUAACCUUCGGGAGGGCGCUUACCACUUUGUGAUUCAUGACUGGGGUGAAGUCGUACAAGGUAACC
rnacentral:rRNA from 1 species